CUUUGACAACUUUCAGCCAAUAUCUGACUUUUAAAUUUUCGUCCAUGCCAGAGCACAUCAGUGUGACAUCUUCACCAGACUGGACCUCCACAGUCUGAGACUCAGAACUUGAGACAGAGAUCCAACCUGGAACAAACAGAUGAGUGACCGAGAUAUUAAGAGUCAGAACCUGAAGUGUCCUGGAUUCUGUCUUUCUUCAGCAGCUGAGAGACAAAAUAUAACAUCUGACCGAUGACGACCAUCACAAGCAAAAGAGUCAAACCACGCAGGACGACACUCACCAGAGUCGCUGCUCCAUCACACUCUUCAACAAAGAAAG